CGCGGCCUAUCAGCUUGUUGGUGGGGUGAUGGCCUACCAAGGCUUUGACGGGUAGCCGGCCUGAGAGGGCGACCGGCCACACUGGGACUGAGACACGGCCCAGACUCCUACGGGAGGCAGCAGUGGGGAAUAUUGCACAAUGGGCGGAAGCCUGAUGCAGCGACGCCGCGUGAGGGAUGACGGCCUUCGGGUUGUAAACCUCUUUCAGCAGGGACGAAGCGAAAGUGACGGUACCUGCAGAAGAAGCGCCGGCCAACUACGUGCCAGCAGCCGCGGUAAGACGUAGGGCGCGAGCGUUGUCCGGAUUUAUUGGGCGUAAAGAGCUCGUAGGCGGCUUGUUGCGUCGUCCGUGAAAACCUGGGGCUCAACUCCAGGCUUGCGGUCGAUACGGGCAGGCUAGAGUUCGGUAGGGGAGACUGGAAUUCCUGGUGUAGCGGUGAAAUGCGCAGAUAUCAGGAGGAACACCGGUGGCGAAGGCGGGUCUCUGGGCCGAUACUGACGCUGAGGAGCGAAAGCGUGGGGAGCGAACAGGAUUAGAUACCCUGGUAGUCCACGCUGUAAACGUUGGGCGCUAGGUGUGGGGGGCCUCUCCGGUUUCCUGCGCCGUAGCUAACGCAUUAAGCGCCCCGCCUGGGGAGUACGG
rnacentral:rRNA from 1 species